AGCCGUGCGGUGAGCACAGAGCGAACUAUUCUUUCGCCUUUUACUAAAGAAUACCGUGUGCUCGCCGCUCUGAGCGGCAUACGCCUAUUUUUGGAAGGCGGUUCCUCCAUGAACUGCC
rnacentral:snRNA from 2 species